rnacentral:rRNA from 1 species
UGGAGGGCAAGUCUGGUGCCAGCAGCCGCGGUAAUUCCAGCUCCAGUAGCAUGUCGUAAAGUUGUUGCGUUUAAAACGCUCGUAGUUGGAUCAUACAGUGACGAAUAGCUGAUGUGCGUGUGGUGGCAUGAAUAGUAGUUGUGACACUAAAUUCAGGUAAACUGGUUUGGUGAAGCAACUGCUGCCUAGCGCGUAUGUUGUUUGCUAUCCGUUGCUACUUGCAUGUGAGAAUGGCGGUUGGCCUUUAGUGCGCUGGCCGUUGUGUCUUGCAGAGUGUGCCUUGAAUAAAUCAAAGUGCUCAAAGCAGGCUGUUGCCUGAAUGUUACAGCAUGGAACGAACAAACGUGUAAAGUGCAGAAUUGGCCUUGAUUGAGGCUGAUGAUGCAUAUCACCAACCACCAUGACGGAUGUUGGUUUCCGUAAUGGGGUGAUGAUUAAAACGAGCGGUUGGGGGCAUUGGUAUUUGGCCGCGAGAGGUGAAAUUCUUAGACCGGCCAAGGACUAACAAAAGCGAAGGCAUUUGUCAAGACCGUCUCGAUUGAUCAAGAACGAUAGUGGAAGGUUCGAAGAUGAUCAGAUACCAUUGUAGUUUCCACCAUAAACUAUGCCGACCCGGGAUCAGUUUUGAGCUAAAAUCAACGCUCCAGGUUGGUCCCCCUGGGAAACCUCAAGUUUUUGGGUUACGGGGGGAGUAUGGUCGCAAGGCUGAAACUUAAAGGAAUUGACGGAAGGGCACCACCAGGGGUGGAGCCUGCGGCUUAAUUUGACUCAACACGGGAAAACUCACCGGUUCCGGACGUUAAAAGGAUAGACAGACUGAUAGAUCUUUCUUGAUAUGAUGUGUGGUGGUGCAUGGCCGUUCUUAGUUCGUGGAGUGAUCUGUCAGAUUGAUUUCGGUAACGAACGAGACCCGAGUCUCUAUUUACGCUGCAAAAUGAUUCGUUUAUGACGGAUCCUACUUUGACAUGUGAUACGGGCUUGCUCAUAUUGCAUGUGAUUGUAAACUUUUGCUGUGUCGCAUGCAGAAAUGUGUGUGGCUGCAUAGAGAGACAACUGACUAUAAUUAUAAAAUCAGAGGAAGUCGGGCAAUAACAGGUCUGUGAUGCCCUUAGACGUACCGGGCUGCACGCGCGCUACAAUGAUAACGGCAACAAGCUUAUCUGGGCCGAAAGGCUUGGGAAAUCUAUAAUCGUUAUCGUGAUGGGGAUUGUUCAUUGUAAGUUGGACAUGAAAUAGGAAUCCCUUGUACGUGCGCUUCAUCUAGAGCGCGCGGAAUGAGUCCCUGCCCUUUGUACA